UACGGAGGGUGCGAGCGUUAAUCGGAAUUACUGGGCGUAAAGCGCGCGUAGGCGGUUUGGUAAGUCGGAUGUGAAAGCCCCGGGCUUAACCUGGGAAUUGCAUUCGAUACUGCCUGACUGGAGUGUGGUAGAGGGAAGUGGAAUUUCCGGUGUAGCGGUGAAAUGCGUAGAUAUCGGAAGGAACACCAGUGGCGAAGGCGACUUCCUGGGCCAACACUGACGCUGAGGCGCGAAAGCGUGGGGAGCAAACAGG
rnacentral:rRNA from 1 species